AUUGAACGCUGGCGGCAGGCUUAACACAUGCAAGUCGAGCGGGGGAAGGUAGCUUGCUACCGGACCUAGCGGCGGACGGGUGAGUAAUGCCUAGGAAUCUGCCUAUUAGUGGGGGACAACAUCUCGAAAGGGAUGCUAAUACCGCAUACGUCCUAUGGGAGAAAGCAGGGGAUCUUCGGACCUUGCUCUAAUAGAUGAGCGUAAGUCGGAUUAGCUAGUUGGUGGGGUAAAGGCCUACCAAGGCGACGAUCUGUAGCGGGUCUGAGAGGAUGAUCCGCCACACUGGGACUGAGACACGGCCCAGACUCCUACGGGAGGCAGCAGUGGGGAAUAUUGGACAAUGGGGGGAACCCUGAUCCAGCCAUGCCGCGUGUGUGAAGAAGGCCUUAUGGUUGUAAAGCACUUUAAGCGAGGAGGAGGCUACUUUAGUUAAUACCUAGAGAUAGUGGACGUUACUCGCAGAAUAAGCACCGGCUAACUCUGUGCCAGCCGCCGCAGUAA
rnacentral:rRNA from 1 species